rnacentral:rRNA from 1 species
CCUACGGGAGGCUGCAGUGAGGAAUAUUGGUCAAUGGGCGAGAGCCUGAACCAGCCACGUCGCGUGGAGGAUGAAGGAUCUAUGAUUUGUAACCUUCUUUUAUAUAGGAGUAAAGUGAGGUACGUGAUCCUUUUUGUAUGUCCCAUAUGAAUAAGCCUCGGCUAACUCCGUGCCAGCAGCCGCGGUAAUUCGGAGGCUGCGAGCGUUAUCCGGAUUUAUUGGGUGUAAAGGGUGCGUAGGUGGGUAAGUAAGUCAGCGGUGAAAGUUUGUGGCUAAACCAUAAAAUUGCCGUUGAAACUGGUUGACUUGAGUAUAUUUGAGGUAGGCGGAAUGCGUGGUGUAGCGGUGAAAUGCAUAGAUAUCACGAAGAAUUCUGAUUGCGAAGGCAGCCUACUAAACUAUAACUGACACUGAAGCACGAAAGCGUGGGGAGCAAACAGGAUUAGAUACCCGAGUAGUC